UAUACGAAGGACUGGAGCUGUAAUUGUCUAACUAAUAUACAGGACUCAGGAACGCAAAAAGAAAAUAAUGGCUGAAGAAAUGAAUGCAGUCAUAGAAGAACGAGAUGCUGCUUUGGCUAAGUAAAACACUGAAACUAAGAGAGAAGAUGUCAACAAACGAAGAGGGGAUUUUUAUGUUUGGUUUGUGGCAAUUUUGAUUUGUUCACUAUUUCUAUCGCAAUGUGCUCUUCAAUGAUAUUUGUGAAAUUUAUCUUUUUAACAAUGUGCAGUGUCUGUGCAGAAUAACUUCAGCCAAAGCCCACUAAAAUCAAUGGGUUCUGGAAUAGUUCUACAUAGAAUUGCAUAGCUUUGCUUUAAGUUAUGGAUUCCUCCUCCAUUUGUUUAACUGUAUUGCUCCUGGCACCUACCUUAUACCAAUGUCACUGCAGCACAUGGAUCAAGUUUCAAGUAGAUAGUGUGGGCCAUAAAAUGCCACUUUUAUCUUAAGUGUAGUGCACUACAAAUAUUUGAUUCCCAGCAGUACUAGUCUACUUGAUACACAUUCUGCUUCAGAAUGAGAUGCACUUUAUUGACUUCUCAGUUGUACAAAGCCAAACUAAUGUUAUGUACCUAGCACUGGGUCUCUCAAAAUCUAGAAAUUAGAUAAAUAUAUAAAUAUAAACUCUGGUUUCCAUUUCUGCUUUAAUUGCUCUUCAGAGGCAUUUACCAAGUGAGGAUAAUUUUAGCUACCUCAUAGGUGACCUGAAAAAAAUGAAGGGGGAUUUAUCCCUUGACUGAGGAAAAAGAUGAAGCCCCUGUGUUUGAAUGGAAUGCUGUUGAUUGUGCUGAUUCUUCUGUGGUGAAUUGGUUUGAACUGGCUGUUCUGCUUUGAGGACUUCUGUCCUUAAUGGCCAAGAACACUUGCUGGCCUUGGCAUUUGUUCCUCCAAGAACAGAAUCUGCAAAAUAAGACACCCGUUUGCCUGCAGUGUGAGAGAAAUAAGCUUUUCACAAGGAUAGAUGAUGAUAAAUGAACCAAAAAUUGAGAACAGAUUCACCCUCAUGUAGACUUACACAGUGAAGGCCCAUUGAAACCAGUGGACUUAGAGUAAAGUAACUCUGCAUAGGUUUGUGCUGAUUGUGUGUGUGUUUUAGUGCAAAUUGGUGGUGCUUGCCUGUGGAAGCAUAAACAGUGCCUGUAGAAGCAUAAACGGUUUAGUGGUUUGGAGGAAGCUCAUAGAUAUCUUGCCUUCAAAUAAAAGCCCAUGUUUAAAUAUAAUUCCCUUUGGUUGCCUUCCUAAGAUUGCUGCAUGACGUCUGACAAGUUAGCAUAGGUUACUUACAAUCAUGUUCCAUUUGGAUACUGAUUCUUAAGCCCUGUUACCUGCCAGCAAAAGGGCCCCAGAAUCACAUGAUGUUGGUUGAGGCUGUCAUAGGGUUGUGCUGGCAUCUAUAAUUCCAGUAGUUUCUUGAAGUUCAUGGGAAAUGUGUAGUAACAGAGGCUGUCAGACUGUCCCUUGGAUAGACCACGAUCUCAACCAUGGAUCCUCUGGAAUCAAAGUGCCUGAUCAUAGAAUAUGACUGUUAGGAAGAAAAUAAAACCUUUACAAGCCACACAACUGUAAUUAUUUGGUUUGCACAGACAGUAAUUAAUAUUCUUUGAAAGUAAUUGUAUAAUAAUUGUUUGUCAUCUUUGAAUAUGCAGCUAUAGGUUAGCAGUCUGUAUUUUAGAAAGUCUAUAAAGUGUGGUUGGCAUUCUUUUGUUGUUACAUUUUAAUUAUGCCAUAAUAAGCAUGCACUUGUGCACUUGCAUAUCUUAAAUCCUAAUUUUAUUUGAAAUUAGUUCUAUUGAAAUACUUUAAAAGUGGGUGAGUUCUCAGAACAGAGAGUCAGGAAGGUUCUAGCAGAGCCCCAGGCAGUUAUAUAUGCAUUUGUUAUAUGAAAUUUUAAACAUAACUGGUGUCUUUACAGAAUGAUGGGCAUUAUUAUCACUGGGAUGAAUGGUACUUGUGUUUGCAAUCUGAGAUCAUUCAGUAGAUUGCUCAGCAAAUAUGCAAACUACUUUUUGUACGUGCAAAAACAAAUAAAAUGGUAUUUAAACU